rnacentral:rRNA from 1 species
GACGAACCGUGCGAACGUUGUUCGGAAUCACUGGGCUUAAAGGGCGCGUAGGCGGGCUGUCAAGUCGGUGGUGAAAUCUUUCGGCUCAACCGGAAAAUCGCCUCCGAUACUGGCGGCCUUGAGGGGGGUAGGGGCAUGCGGAACUUCCGGUGGAGCGGUGAAAUGCGUAGAUAUCGGAAGGAACACCGAUGGCGAAAGCAGCGUGCUGGACCCUUUCUGACGCUGAGGCGCGAAAGCCAGGGGAGCAAACGGG